ACCAGUAGACUAUCUGAGAUUUAUUUUUCUUGUUCAAUAGUGAUUACUUUUAGAAUGAGUGUAAAUGAAAUCCUAAAAUAUAUUGUUUGAGAUGAUUUCAUUUUGAACUUUCUUGUAUCACAGGCAUCAAAGAGUGCACUUCCUUACAAAGUGCUGCACCAAGAAUCCUCAGCCAAGCUUUGAACCUUCAUUGGUGAGAAGCCAGAAAAAGACAGAAGCCAUCACCAGCCAGCAGUGAUGAAAACGUUCAUCAAAAUUUAUGAAAUGCUGCUGGCAAGAAGGUACAAAA
rnacentral:lncRNA from 1 species